CAGACUCCUACGGGAGGCAGCAGUAGGGAAUCUUCCGCAAUGGACGAAAGUCUGACGGAGCAACGCCGCGUGAGUGAUGAAGGUUUUCGGAUCGUAAAGCUCUGUUGUUAGGGAAGAACAAGUGCCGUUCAAAUAGGGCGGCACCUUGACGGUACCUAACCAGAAAGCCACGGCUAACUACGUGCCAGCAGCCGCGGUAAUACGUAGGUGGCAAGCGUUGUCCGGAAUUAUUGGGCGUAAAGGGCUCGCAGGCGGUUUCUUAAGUGUGAUGUGAAAGCCCCCGGCUCAACCGGGGAGGGUCAUUGGAAACUGGGGAACUUGAGUGCAGAAGAGGAGAGUGGAAUUCCACGUGUAGCGGUGAAAUGCGUAGAGAUGUGGAGGAACACCAGUGGCGAAGGCGACUCUCUGGUCUGUAACUGACGCUGAGGAGCGAAAGCGUGGGGAGCGAACAGGAUUAGAUACCCUGGUAGUCCACGCCGUAAACGAUGAGUGCUAAGUGUUAGGGGGUUUCCGCCCCUUAGUGCUGCAGCU
rnacentral:rRNA from 1 species